ACCUAAAGAAGGUUUAAAAAAAAAAUUAAGGUUACACUUUGUUGGCUUUUGAAUCAGAGACUCCUGAUUGAAAGGCCUGAGAUGUUUUACAAAUAAUUUACCUUUGAGAAAUAGCAAACAUGUAGUAAAAGGACAAAGUGAAGUAAUCCAAAGUAUACUGCUCAUUUAAUGUUUCCUGUUUCUAUUCAGCCUGGGACAGAUCAAGCCUAGUACCUUUCCAGCACUUAAGAAGAGUUCAUGCCCAAUCGAUUCACUAUUCAUCUUGAUUCCAUCAUGAAGGUAAACUAAAUUGCCAUUAAACAAUAAUAAAACUCAAUCUACUGCUUUGAUCUGCUUUUAAGAUCUAUAUCAAUAAUAUCAUACAAUAGGAACUCUCUGGUGUAUGUCUUGUUUCACAGGCAAUUAGUUGAUCCCUUGAAUAAAUUGAGUAAUAAUUUACUUGUUUUUUGUUACAUCUUUGGGUAGUAUCCAGGAUUUGGCUAAAAUGAAUGAAACAUCUUUGAACGUUCUUGCUUGUUUCCUUUGGUGCACAUUUCUACUCAGUUCUCCCGACAUAAACAUAGGAUAGAAUGUAAUACUCAGAGAUUGAUCUUCAGUAGAUGUUGCCAAAAGUUUUCCAAAGUAGUAAUACCAACUAAAAUUCUACUAGUGCCAUGUAAAAAUUCUGGUUCCUCUCUACAUUUUAAGUGAUACUUUUUUUUUUAGACAUGCUCUCUCUGUAUUCUUUAUUGCUAAGGCUGGUCU
rnacentral:lncRNA from 1 species